AACUGGGGAGCUGAUUAAAUCAGCUGAGAGUGAGGUGUUGUCCUCUUACUCAUUGAACCUGUAAGGUUAGUGCCUACGUAGGGAGUUUCUUUUUUU
rnacentral:ncRNA from 1 species